CCUACGGGAGGCAGCAGUGAGGAAUAUUGGUCAAUGGACGCAAGUCUGAACCAGCCAUGCCGCGUGCAGGAAGACGGCUCUAUGAGUUGUAAACUGCUUUUGUACGAGGGUAAACGCAGAUACGUGUAUCUGUCUGAAAGUAUCGUACGAAUAAGGAUCGGCUAACUCCGUGCCAGCAGCCGCGGUAAUACGGAGGAUUCAGGCGUUAUCCGGAUUGAUUGGGGUUAAAGGGUGGGUAGGGGGGCCUUCAGGCAGGCGUGAAAAUUGCGGGGCUAAACCCCGCAGAGCAGUUGGAACCGGGCUGCUAGAGUAUUGGAGAAGGACGUGGAAUGCGUGGUGUAGCGGUGAAAUGCAUAGAUAUCACGCAGAACACCGAUUGCGAAGGCAGCGUACUGGACGAUCACUGACGCUGAGGCACGAAAGCGCGGGUAUCGAACAGGAUUAGAUACCCCUGUAGUC
rnacentral:rRNA from 1 species